rnacentral:rRNA from 1 species
UACGUAGGGUGCAAGCGUUAAUCGGAAUUACUGGGCGUAAAGUGUGCGCAGGCGGCCGAGCAAGUCGAGUGUGAAAGCCCCGAGCUUAACUUGGGAAUUGCGCUCGAAACUACUUUGCUGGAGUGUGGCAGAGGAAGGUGGAAUUCCAGGUGUAGCGGUGAAAUGCGUAGAGAUCUGGAGGAACACCGAUGGCGAAGGCAGCCUUCUGGGCCAACACUGACGCUCAUGCACGAAAGCGUGGGGAGCAAACAGG